AUUGAACGCUAGCGGGAUGCCUUACACAUGCAAGUCGAACGGAGUGGCGAACGGGUGAGUAAUGUAUCGGAACGUGCCCAGUAGCGGGGGAUAACUACGCGAUAGCGUAGCUAAUCCCGCAUACUAUUGGAGCGGCCGAUAUGGGAUUAGCUAGUUGGUGGGGUAACGGCCCACCAAGGCGAGGAUCCGUAGCUGGGUUGAGAGGACAACCAGCCACACUGGAACUGAGACACGGUCCAGACGCCUACGGGAGGCAGCAGUGGGGAAUUUUGGACAAGGGGGGAAACCCUGAUCCAGCCAUCCCGCGUGUGAGAUGAAGGCCUUCGGGUUGUAAAGCACUUUUGGCAGGAAAGCGGUACCUGCAGAAUAAGCACCGGCUAACGACGUGCCAGCAGCCGCGGUAAUAC
rnacentral:rRNA from 1 species